AACAAUGGAAGUAGGAAUAAGAAUUAGGAGACAAAAAGAGUCAGAGUUCGAAAUUAGGGGGGGGUCAAAAUAAGUACUAGAAAUAGAAGAAGCGAAGAUUGGGAAUUAGGAGAAUUGGAAUGAGAAUUGCGAAUGAAGAGAGCAUGGGCUAGAAACAAAGGAGGUAUAGAUGAUUGUAACAAUGAUUAUCAUAUAGGUGGAUUAUUUAAA
rnacentral:lncRNA from 1 species